CUCUAGCGCAGUAAUACACAGCCGAGUCCUCUAGUUUUAGGUUGGACAGUCUCAGAUACACCAUGCUGUUGCUAUUAUCUCUGUGUUUUUCCUGCAGGUUGUCUGAUCCAGUGCAUUCCACUUCUGCCGAAAUCAAAUCCAGUUCCCCUGCAGGAAAGACUGAGGGCCUCCUCAGGUGUUUUCAACACUGAAAUGGAGGGAAUGGACUCCAUAGCCUGGCCAUUUAAACCUGCCAAAUCACCAGAAGUGAAGAGGGACAAUGCAUCCUUGGUUGUUCUUGUUUCAACAAGCUCAUCCGGCAUGUAAGAAAGGAUUUCAAUCACGGAGGUGGUUGACAAAAACUACAGUAACACUUAAGAAACGUCUUAAUCAAUCCAACAGUACCACUUUGAUCUUGCCAAAUAAUUAGUAUAAUCAACCAGUAUGCUGUUUAACAAAAAUCUCUCAACAGAAAUUAUUAUUAUUACAUUUCUAAAAUG